UGGGGAAUAUUGCACAAUGGAGGGAACUCUGAUGCAGCGACGCCGCGUGAACGAAGAAGGCUUUCGAGUCGUAAAGUUCUUUUAUAUGGGAAGAUAAUGACGGUACCAUAAGAAAAAGCCCCGGCUAACUACGUGCCAGCAGCCGCGGUAAUACGUAGGGGGCUAGCGUUGUCCGGAAUCACUGGGCGUGAAGGGUUCGCAGGCGGAAAUGCAAGUCAGGUGUAAAAGGCAGUAGCUUAACUACUGUAAGCAUUUGAAACUGCAUAUCUUGAGAAGAGUAGAGGUAAGUGGAAUUUUUAGUGUAGCGGUGAAAUACGUAGAUAUUAAAAAGAAUACCGGUGGCGAAGGCGACUUACUGGGCUCAUUCUGACGCUGAGGAACGAAAGCGUGGGUAGCAAACAGG
rnacentral:rRNA from 1 species